UCCCCGCGCGUUUCUCCACACGGCCCAUCUCGAAGACGUACGUUGACUCGAGUCUGCCCCGGCUCAGCCCAAUCAGCUUGUCGGCCAGCUCCUCUCGUCGAUCGUUUCCACCAAAUCCACCGGUCUGCCGGCCCCGUCUUCCGCUCCGACGACCCGGAGCCGGAGGUCUGUCCAGUUGGUAGUCGCCUCAAGCACCAAUUCGCCCCUCCGCCGAAGCUAAGCUGCUCGGUCCCAAGGGCAUCCCUAGCUGGCUGAGGCGGAUCGGUAGCAAAACCGAUACUGUUACGUUGCCACGGAGGCAGUUUGAUUUGGUGGACCUAACGGCCUUGCGGAUCUCUUGGGAGCCAGAGCGAUGGCGCGCGGUGCUCGCUUCCUCCUUGUUCUCGCGCUGCUGGUCGCGCUACUUGCCGUCGUCUUCCAGCUUUAUCGCCUCAGGAAGCCGAGGUUGUGGACAGUGGAGGAGCUAUCGCUGUACAAUGGAACCGAUGAGGGGUUGCCCAUACUACUCGCGAUUUUGGGCUCAGUGUUUGACGUCACAAAAGGGAGGUCACAUUAUGGCCCUGGAGGAGGUUAUCAUCAUUUUGCUGGGAGCAUUCUUUUGACAGGGAUGCAUCACGGGCAUUUGUUUCUGGAAAUUUUACAGGUGAUGGUUUGACUGAUUCCUUACAGGGUUUAUCAAGCAGUGAGGUAAACAGCAUUGUUGAUUGGAGGAAGUUUUACUUUGAAAGAUAUAUAUUUGCUGGUAAACUUAUUGGACGUUACUAUGACAGUCAAGGGAAUCCUACGAAAUAUCUGAAGGGUGUAGAAAUGAAGGCAAAGAGAGGUGCACAGCUUCUUGAAAAGCAGAAGAGUGAUGAAGCUAAAAUACCUGGCUGCAAUUCAAAAUGGAGCCAGCAAGAAGGUGGAGAAGUCUGGUGCGACACGGGCUAUCCAAGAUUGGUGAGGAGGCCAGGUGACAUAGCUCUGACCGGACAAGUUAGCCAAAGGUGCGCUUGCUUCCAGGAAAACGAGCUGGACAAAGCCGGGCUAGUGGUGUACGAAGGGUGUGAUUACCUGUCCCAGUCUUGCAAAGUAAACUAGGCCGUGCGUCUCCCUUCCACGGACUUGUUGCUUUGGGGGGUACUCAAACGCAAGGUUCAUCAGUUACGGGGGCGCUGCGACAUUCCACGAGCACCCACCAGCCACGCAUGCAUCAUGAAGGCGGGCCUUUCUGCUCUGUCCCGCGUGAAACACCUGGUGCAACGUCGUGGUUCAGUUCAGAUGCCUAGAUACGCAAUUGAUUGGAAGAUACCCGCGAUCGAAUCAAAUGAUGGUAACGCUGCGCCGCCACGGGCAAGAUCUCGAUCCUAAAGGCUGUCCGUGUUAAUAGGCAUGGGGCCUUGGGCUGUCGAUUGAUCGAGGCUGCCUUGCAAGUUGCGCCGUCUGCACCAUAGGCUACCUCCAUCAAUGAAAUGCAUUUUUUUGGAGAGUCAUUUUAGCCAUUUGCAUAGCGAACAGUGUGUGCGUGUGUGGUACGCAAAUUUUUGUUUCUCCAAGUUGGAUCAUGCAUAUGCAGAUUUAUACAGUGCCGUGCGAGAGGCAUUUUACGUUUGCAUA